GUCUUUUUGAUUUUAAUUUAAAGUUUAACCUGCCCAUUGAAAAUUUUUAAAAGGCUGCGGUAUUUUGACUGUACAAAGGUAGCAUAAUCAUUAGUUUUUUAAUUGAAAACUUGUAUGAAUGGUUGAAUGAAAAAUUAACUUUUUUAAAAAAAUAAUUGAAUUUUACUUUUUAAUUAAAAGGUUAAAAUAAAUUUAAAAGACGAGAAGACCCUAUAGAGUUUUAUAAUUUUUAUUUAAUAUUUAAAAAGAUUAAUUAAAAUUUUAUAAAAGAAAAUAUUUUGUUGGGGUGAUAAUAAAAUUUAAAUAACUUUUAUUUUUUUUUUACAUUAAUAUAUGAAUUUAUGAUCCAUUAUUGAUGAUUAKAAAUUUAAAUUACCUUAGGGAUAACAGCGUAAUUUUUUUUUAAAGUUCAUAUUAAUAAAAAAUUUUGCGACCUCGAUGUUGGAUUAAGAUUUAAUUUUAGGUGCAGCAGUUUAAAUUUUAAGUCUGUUCGACUUUUAAAUUCUU
rnacentral:rRNA from 1 species